rnacentral:misc_RNA from 1 species
UCGUAACAAGGUUUCCGUAGGUGAACCUGCGGAAGGAUCAUUACUGAUUUGCUUAAUUGCACCACAUGUGUUUUUUAUUGAACAAAUUUCUUUGGUGGCGGGAGCAAUCCUACCGCCAGAGGUUAUAACUAAACCAAACUUUUUAUUUACAGUCAAACUUGAUUUAUUAUUACAAUAGUCAAAACUUUCAACAACGGAUCUCUUGGUUCUCGCAUCGAUGAAGAACGCAGCGAAAUGCGAUACGUAAUAUGAAUUGCAGAUAUUCGUGAAUCAUCGAAUCUUUGAACGCACAUUGCGCCCUUUGGUAUUCCAAAGGGCAUGCCUGUUUGAGCGUCAUUUCUCCCUCAAACCCCCGGGUUUGGUGUUGAGCAAUACGCUAGGUUUGUUUGAAAGAAUUUAACGUGGAAACUUAUUUUAAGCGACUUAGGUUUAUCCAAAAACGCUUAUUUUGCUAGUGGCCACCACAAUUUAUUUCAUAACUUUGACCUCAAAUCAGGUAGGACUACCCGCUGAACUUAAGCAUAUCAAUAAG